rnacentral:rRNA from 1 species
UACGGAGGGUGCAAGCGUUGUCCGAAUUCAUUGGGUUUAAAGGGUGCGCAGGCGGGACAUUAAGUCAGGGGUGAAAGACGGUUGCUCAACAAUCGCAGUGCCUUUGAUACUGGUGUUCUUGGGUAACCUUGAGGUAGGCGGAAUGGGUGGUGUAGCGGUGAAAUGCAUAGAUACCACCCAGAACUCCGAUUGCGAAGGCAGCCUACUGGAGGUCAACCGACGCUCAGGCACGAAAGCGUGGGGAUCAAACAGG